UUGCAGGCUGAAACUCGCCUGCAUGAACCCGGAAUUGGUAGUAAUCGCACAUCAGCAGCGUGCGGUGAAUACGUUCUCGCCUCUUGCACACACUGCCCGUCAAAUCAGCAAAGUUGGGGGUACCCAACACUCUACUUUAUGUAGGGCUAAGGUAAAUCCAGCGAUGAGGGUUAAGUCGUAACAAGGUAUCCGUACUGGAAGGUGCGGAUGGAUCACCUCCUUU
rnacentral:rRNA from 1 species